rnacentral:rRNA from 1 species
GACGAACGCUGGCGGCGUGCUUAACACAUGCAAGUCGAGCGGUAAGGCCCUUUCGGGGGUACACGAGCGGCGAACGGGUGAGUAACACGUGGGUGACCUGCCCUCAGCUCUGGGAUAAGCCUGGGAAACCGGGUCUAAUACUGGAUAUGACUCCAUGACGCAUGUUGUGGGGUGGAAAGCCUUGUGCGGCUGAGGAUGGGCCCGCGGCCUAUCAGCUUGUUGGUGGGGUGANGGCCUACCAAGGCGACGACGGGUAGCCGGCCUGAGAGGGCGACCGGCCACACUGGGACUGAGACACGGCCCAGACUCCUACGGGAGGCGGCAGUGGGGAAUCUUGCGCAAUGGGCGAAAGCCUGACGCAGCGACGCCGCGUGAGGGAUGACGGCCUGU